rnacentral:misc_RNA from 1 species
GUAGCUGCUCUAAAAGUAAGUCAUAUGCAAAUGCUGCACAGUGCGUAGUGCCCCUAUUAGUUGAUGCAGCAUCCUACAAUCCUCAAUAGGGUGUCCAAAAUGAUGCAUGUAAGACCUACUUUGAUGCUUUGGGCACAGGCAUCAAGUUUUACCUUGAGACUCAGGUGUCAAAUAACAUGCACAAGCUAAUGUAAUCAUUUGACCUCAAAGGCUAGAAGCAAACCUGCAAAAUGUCUGUAUAAGGCACUGUGCUCUGAUAGUAAGAUGUUUGAAUUUGAUUAGCUAAAAAUUGGAUUUGACUUGUUAAACGUGAUGCUAGUUGCUUUUAUUAUGGGUUUCACAGCUGGUUUCAAGCAGAAAGGUUAUAAACUUAUGGGUCUUUCAGUUAUCCUGUCUAGCUUCCAUCUAAGCAUAGCCUAUUGUCAACUCAAAUCCUGAAAUCCAAUUAUGAUCAGCCAACAUAUGCAUGUUAAGCGAAUUUGAAUUACUAUUCUAGUGCACAAUUCUUGUUGAUUACUUACGGAAGAUUUCUGGUUUCUUGACAUGCAUUGCAGAAGCAACACCAAAGACUA